rnacentral:rRNA from 1 species
AUGUUGUGGUCCAUCCGCGCCACCGCCACCAAGUCAACAGGCGAGACUCCGUUCUUCCUCGUCUACGGAGCCGAAGCGGUUCUCCACGAGGUCAGGCAUCGCUUCGCGCGGGUCCUGGCGUUCGACGAGGCAUGUCGGGACGCCAUGCGGAGGAUGGACCUCGUGCUGGGAGAGGAACGCCGCCGCCAAGCCUCGCUCCAUGCGGCGAGGUACCAGCAAGCGCUGCGGCGGUAUCACUGCCGCAGCGUCCGCUCCAGGACGCUCGAGAUGGGCGAUCUCGUCCUGAGGCGGGUGCUCUCCAGGGAAGGGUUGCACAAGCUCUCAUCCAUGUGGGAGGGCCCGUUUAGGAUUGCCCGCGUCUUCAGCCUGGCGUUGUGCGCCUGGAGACGCGGGACGAGAUCCCCAUCCAGAACGCCUUGA